AGGAAUAUAUUAUAAUCAUAAUAAAAUAAUUUUAUAUUAUUAUUUUAGAUUUGAACUAAAUUAAAAAUAUUUUUUAAUAUUUUGCUUUACCAUUAAGCUAAUAAUAAUAUAUAUUUAUAUAUAUUAAUAUAUAUAAAUAUAUAAUUAAAUAAAUAAAUUAAUCACAUUAGAUUGUAAAGGAAGACUUACAAAUGCGUGAGGUUUAGGUGGACUAGUUAAAGCUCAUUCUAAACUAGGAUAAUUUCUA